rnacentral:rRNA from 1 species
GGCUGGAAUCAGGAAUAUGAGAAGAACGCAAUGGCGUUGGUUUCGUCAGAUUCCGAGCACUUUCAUUUUUGAGCCUGUUUGGGCUAGAGUAGUACUGGGAUGGGUGACCUCCCGGGAAGUCUCAGUGUUGCACCCU